UAGGGAAUCUUCCGCAAUGGACGCAAGUCUGACGGAGCAACGCCGCGUGAGUGAAGAAGGAUUUCGGUUCGUAAAACUCUGUUGUUAGAGAAGAACAGCGCAUAGAGUAACUGUUAUGCGUGUGACGGUAUCUAACCAGAAAGCCACGGCUAACUACGUGCCAGCAGCCGCGGUAAUACGUAGGUGGCAAGCGUUGUCCGGAUUUAUUGGGCGUAAAGCGAGCGCAGGCGGUCAAUUAAGUCUGAUGUGAAAGCCCCCGGCUCCACCUGGGCUGGUCAUUGGAAACUGGUUGACUUGAUUGCAGAAGGGGCGAGUUGAAUUCCCUGUGUAGCGGUGAAAUGCGUAGAUAUAUGGCGGCACACCACUGGCGAACGCGACUCUCUCGUCUGUAACUCACGCUGAUGCUCGAACGCGUGGGUAGCAAACAGG
rnacentral:rRNA from 1 species